rnacentral:rRNA from 1 species
UACGGAGGGUGCAAGCGUUAUCCGGAUUCACUGGGUUUAAAGGGUGCGUAGGUGGGCAGGUAAGUCAGUGGUGAAAUCCCCGAGCUUAACUUGGAAACUGCCGUUGAUACUAUCUGUCUUGAAUAUUGUGGAGGUGAGCGGAAUAUGUCAUGUAGCGGUGAAAUGCUUAGAUAUGACAUAGAACACCAAUUGCGAAGGCAGCUCACUACUCAAUCAUUGACUCUGAGGCACGAAAGCGUGGGGAUCAAACAGG